AAAGUACUCUCUCCAUCCGGAAAUAUUUGUCGGAGAAAUGGAUGUAUCUAGUCGUAUUUUAGUUCUAAUACAUUCAUUUUUAUCAAUUUCUCCGACAAGUAUUUCAGGACGGAGGGAGUAGGUC
rnacentral:pre_miRNA from 1 species